rnacentral:rRNA from 1 species
AUUGAACGCUGGCGGCAGGCCUAACACAUGCAAGUCGAGCGGAUGAAGGGAGCUUGCUCCUGGAUUCAGCUGCGGACGGGUGAGUAAUGCCUAGGAAUCUGCCUGGUAGUGGUGUAUAACGUCCGGAAACGGGCGCUAAUACCGCAUACGUCCUGAGGGAGAAAGUGUGGGAUCUUCGGACCUCACGCUAUCACAUGAUCCUAGGUCGGAUUAGCUAGUUGGUGGGGUAAAGGCCUACCAAGGCGACGAUCCGUAACUGGUCUGAGAGGAUGAUCAGUCACACUGGAACUGAGACACGGUCCAGACUCCUACGGGAGGCAGCAGUGGGGAAUAUUGGACAAUGGGCGAAAGCCUGAUCCAGCCAUGCCGCGUGGGUGAAGAAGGUCUUCGGAUUGUAAAGCACUUUAAGUUGGGAGGAAGGGCAGUAAGUUAAUACCUUGCUGUUUUGACGUUACCGAAAGAAUAAGCACCGGCUAACUUCGUG